rnacentral:rRNA from 1 species
ACAGCAGCAGCCACGGGAAUACGUAGGGUGCAAGCGUUAAUCGGAAUUACUGGGCGUAAAGCGUGCGCAGGCGGUUAUAUAAGACAGAUGUGAAAUCCCCGGGCUCAACCUGGGAACUGCAUUUGUGACUGUAUAGCUAGAGUACGGCAGAGGGGGAUGGAAUUCCGCGUGUAGCAGUGAAAUGCGUAGAUAUGCGGAGGAACACCGAUGGCGAAGGCAAUCCCCUGGGCCUGUACUGACGCUCAUGCACGAAAGCGUGGGGAGCAAACAGGAUUAGAUACCCCGGUAGUCCCUGUCUCUUAUAC